CCUACGGGUGGCUGCAGUGGGGAAUAUUGGACAAUGGGGGGAACCCUGAUCCAGCGACGCCGCGUGAGUGAAGACGUCUUUCGGUAUGUAAAGCUCUAUCAGCAGGGAAGAAAAUGACGGUACCUGUCUCAGAAGCCCCGGCUAACUACGUGCCAGCAGCCGCGGUAAUACGUAGGGUGCCAGCGUUAUACGGAUUUACUGGGUGUAAAGGGAGCGUAGACGGUGCAGCAAGUCUGAUGUGAAAGGUCGGGGCCCAACCCCGGGACUGCAGUGGAAACUGUUGAACUUGAGUACAGGUGAGGUAGGCGGAAUUCCUAGUGUAGCGGUGAAAUGCGUAGAUAUUAGGAGGAACACCAGUGGCGAAGGCAGCUUACUGGACUGUAACUGACGUUGAGGCUCGAAAGCGUGGGGAGCAAACAGGAUUAGAUACCCCAGUAGUC
rnacentral:rRNA from 1 species